CCUGCUUUCUACAAAUUAACUCAAAACUGAUUUCAAAGAAUUGGGCCGACGAAACCCCAUUUCACUACCAUUCCAAAGGUUUUGUGGGAAAAGUGGAAGCGUCAAAAAAUCGGAGAUGAAAGAUGUUUUCAGAUUUACCGUAUUUACUAAUACAGCCUAAUAAAUUAAAUACAGUCCAUCUACACUUUUCAACCCUAAAAUACAGCUUAAAUACUCAGCUCAUCUAAUUUUAGGGUUCAGCGCCGCUUCUUCUCGCUCAUUUCUUCUCCCAGUCUAAACCUUCCACUUUCUUCCACCUUUCGCCGCUGCCGGCGAGAAGCUCAUACGUGCUCUCCCUUGUCUUCUCUCUCCCUCUGCCUCACCCUCUGCCGACUUUCUUCCACUUUUCGCCGCCGCCGCUGCCGGCGAGAAGCUCAAACGUACUCUCUAUUGUCUUCUCUCUCCCUCUGCCGGAGAAAAACCUGCAACCGAAUCACGGUAAAGCCGCGGUCCAAAACCCUUAGAUCCCUAAACUACCAACUCCGGCCUCAUAUCUAGACGACGAUCCACGCGGUGUCGCCUCUCUCCUCGACGACGAUAAAUGAGCCGCUGCCUCCCUCUGCUCAGCCCGUAUCCAGCCGCCGCCGUCCGAGAUUCAAACUACGGCGUCGCCCAGCCCUAGCCUCCAGAUCCAGCCUCCAGAUCUCGGCCUCCUCCCUCGACUGCAUCUUUAAUUCUUGCGAUCUCCAUGUAUAUUUUUUCUUGCUGAAUGGAUUAUUUUUUUCAUUUAGCCAUAAAUUUUGAAACAACAGCUUGUUUAAUACAGUAAGAUAUUUUGGGCAUCUAAUUUUUGUCUAUCUGUUUUGGUCAUCUGAUUUUUUGAAAAAUCUAUAAACAAAAAAAAUGUUUUUCGCAGAUCUGAUUUCAGCACUAUUUUUUGGCAUCUGAUUCAGUAGAUCUAUGAAUAUCUUUGCUCUUGUUCGCAGUCUGUUUUUCGCAUUUGAUUUUUGUAGAUCUAUGAACAUCUUUAUUUUCUUUCGCAUGUAGAUCUAAGAACAUCCACACAAAUUCAUCCUUGUUGAUUUAUACAAACUUUUCAACUUGUUGAUUUAUACAACCUUGUUGAUUUUCUUUCGCUACUGAUAUACAUCCUUGUUGAUUUAUACAACCUUUUCGACUUCAUAAGCCUGCGAAGUAAACUUUCUUGUGUAAACACAAUUGAUAUGGGUUACAUUUGCGUUGUUUGAUAUCUUUAUUUUGUAGGUGCUGCUUGUAUGAAUAUGCUUUCUCUCCAAAGCCUUUGGGUGAAGUCAAAUCCACUAUCAGUCUAUCACUGUUGGUCUCAAUCAAGCACUCAUUCUCUUGAUAAAGAUCUCAGUGGUAAUACUUUCACGGAAAGAUUCAGUCUUAAUCUUCUGCGGUCUUGAUCUGCUUCUGCUGUCUUGAUCUGCUGCAAAAAUUCAGAAAUAUUAGCUACAUUUUUUCAGACUUUGUGUGUAAAGUAGAAAAAAGUGUAUAAAUUUGUAUCUUAUAAUUGAAACUAAUA